GAAAUGCGAUAACUAAUGUGAAUUGCAGAAUUCAGUGAAUCAUCGAGUCUUUGAACGCACAUUGCGCCCCCUGGUAUUCCGGGGGGCAUGCCUGUCCGAGCGUCAUUGCUGCCCUCAAGCCCGGCUUGUGUGUUGGGUCGCCGUCCCCCUCUCCGGGGGGACGGGCCCGAAAGGCAGCGGCGGCACCGCGUCCGAUCCCGAGCGUAUGGGGCUUUGUCACAUGCUCUGUAGGAUUGGCCGGCGCCUGCCGACGUUUUCCAACCAUUUUUUCCAGGUUGACCUCGGAUCAGGUAGGGAUACCCGCUGAACUUAAGC
rnacentral:misc_RNA from 1 species